UCUCACUGCUACAAGUAAGUGGCUGAAUUCUAAUUUGAAUUUGUCUAACUUCUGCCGCUGGUUCUUGUUAUGACUUUCCUGACAAGAUUAGAGCCCUUUAGUAUCCAGUGCUUUCUUGCCAUGGAGGUACUUACACUCUGUAAUCACGUUAGUCAAUUGAUAAGGAAACAGAGUUGAGCUUUUAAGUCUCACUCUGAGGCAUUUUCUCCAGCACUCAGAUCAUCCGGUGAUUCUUCAUGGUCUCCAUUUAUUUUUAACAUAGUGGAAACCAAACAUGGUAAAUGUUUCAGUCUGCCUCUUAUCCACGCAGACUAUCAAGGUGCAGUGACCCUUUAUACUACGCAGCUGUUAAAAAGGUUUGUAGGACCCCUUUUCAUGGGGAAAUCCUGCUCUGACCCUGAGGUUCUUCCUAGCGAAGUCUGCCGCUUAGCAGUUAUGGUUUGCAUUUCUUAGUUUACAAAUUUGCCUUUGUUUUCAGAUAUGUUUUGCUUUUCUGGGCACAGUUAAAGCAGAUAUUCAGACCUCUUUCUUUCGCUGCCCUUUCCUCAUAGUGAUGUACUGUUCUCAUAGGCAUGGUGAUGGACACAGAUUUCUAUCUGCAGUGAAAAAUGUUGAACUGCAUCAGACUUUAAAUUUAGUGACAAAAAAAUUGACGUGGUGCAGUACCAGGGAGUACAUGAAGAAUGCUAACGGGCAGCUCUCAGGAAGCACCAGUCAAUAUGGAGCAGCCGACGUGGAUCUCCGCUAGAACCAAAGUACGCUCUGUGCACAUAAUUCAUUCUUUCUGACUACAUUUGUAAUCUCAAGGAAUGAAGUUAGCCUUUUAUCGAGGCAUUUUUUCCACGAGUACAUGCUGACUGGCAUUACUGCUGUCCCUGUUCUCUAAAUCUUUAGCGAGAUAAUCUUUUUUCUGUUGGCUUGCCUGGGCUGGCACACUGCUGGCCACUGCACAGCGCUCUGGGUUUGCUCCAUGCCCUUUUUGAGCAUCAGCAUAAUGUGAGCAUCCAUCCUGAGUGGUGGGUUCCCUCAUUAAUCCCUCAUUUAAAAAAAAAUUGAUUGGUAAGAGGAACAUCCUAUGGUGUUUUAUUCCUGAAUGUCCACAAGUACAAAAGUGGAGUGCUUCUGGGGAGGCCACAGUGCAUCUCUGGCAGAUUGCACAGCUGGGUGGGAGCAGAGAACUUCCUAACCCUUACAGGUGCCUACUUUGGGAGACACUUGUGAGUUAGCCCUCAGUUCAUUCCAUGGGCAGAAUUCUGAUAAAUGUUGAUGUCACCUUGUCACACUCAAGUCAAUUCUGUUUUAUUUGUAGCAAUAUGCCUUGUUACUUUUUGUUCAAAACGCAGCUGCCUUCACUUGGCUGUUCCUUUGAAUUCCCUCUUCCUAUGCCAAACUGAUUUAGCCUUUACUCCCUCCAUGUUGCAGCUGUAAUCAGCACUGCACGUGAAUGUCUCUUUCUGGUAGAGAGGCAGUAUUUAUGUUGUUGAUUUUUAGGAUGCUGUGUCAUAGAGAAUCCUGAAACCAAACCUGGUUUAAAUACCAUUGUCAGUAACAAGUGAUGUAGGUAGCUUUGUUGUUGCUGGCUUUCCUUUUUCUUUUGUUUCUUUUCUUUAAAGGUAUGUGAAAGGACUUGCUCCAUUGAAAAGCAUCUGUUUCGAAACAUGCAGUCCAAUCAGCUAAAAUGCAGUGAGGUCAGGCGCAUAUCUGAAGUUUGGGAUGUCUGCUUCCUCUCUGGCGAUUGGGUGGGAAAUCUGCCAGGGAGAUAGGCUUUGAAAAAAGGUUUGGAAGGGGCAUGAAAGGGAGAACUGAGGCACAACGUUUUGGAGGCUGGAAGAGGUGCUUUAAAAGAGCCGUGCUGUUUUACUGUUUGAAAUCUGAGGUGCGGCCCAGUGGAAGUUUAAGACAAGUAAUAGAGACUCAAAAAUGUGUGCUGUUUUGUGGGACAUGAAUAUUUCUUACAGUGCGAGCCUCUGAGCUCAGCCAGCAGCUUUCCUGCCUCCUCACUAACUCGGUAUCUGAUUUUUCUGUUCCUCUGCUGUCUUCUUGCAGGAGUUGUUUAUUGACUGAAAUUGUUUCCAUAUGGCUGCAAUGUAGAGCUUGAUUACAUUAAAUGUGGCGCUUUCCUGUGGCAUUGCAGUGCUAUGAGAAGCUCAUCCCGCUUUUUUUCUCCUUCCAACCUCCCUUUCUUCCAUAGAAUUUUGUUUUCGGAAUGUGGAACUUGCUAGGUAUUAUCUUCCCUGCUCUGAGGCUUGUAUAACUGGAAAGCUGGGAUCCAGUUCUUUUUUCGGUCUUCAUACUUGAUUGCCUAGUGGAUUUGAACAGCAUCUAGGCAAUGUAGUUUUACUUUGGGUGUCACAAACAAAGUGAAGGCAGUGGAGUGAUGGGAGUCACCGUUGG
rnacentral:lncRNA from 1 species